GCAGUCUCUAGCAGCUGGAGGGAAGAUGCCAGUGGAAAGCCUGGGUGGCAUGGGCUCAUCUUCCCCGCCACCAUAAGCAGCUUUGGAAAGCACCCAAAUGUGGCUCAGGGCUGAAGAACAGCUCCUCAAAUUGCUCCCAGGGGCUACCUACCAGGAAGUUAUGUGACUUCAGUUCAUGCUUGUAGUAUUACAGUGACAUAACUGUUCUUGAAGGAAACUUGUUACAUGGUUUCUUAUAACAU